UACAGAGGUCUCAAGCGUUGUUCGGAUUCAUUGGGCGUAAAGGGUGCGUAGGCGGCGCGGUAAGUCGGAUGUGAAAUCUCCAGGCUUAACCUGGGAACUGCGUCGGAUACUGGAUGGCUUGAAUUCGGGAGAGGGAUGCAGAAUUCCAGGUGUAGCGGUGAAAUGCGUAGAUAUCUGGAGGAACACCGGUGGCGAAGGCGGCAUCCUGGACCGGCAUUGACGCUGAGGCGCGAAAGCCAGGGGAGCAAACGGG
rnacentral:rRNA from 1 species